rnacentral:rRNA from 1 species
CAGUCGCCACGGGAAAACGUAGGUCCCGAGCGUUGUCCGGAAUUAUUGGGCGUAAAGCGCGCGCAGGCGGAUCAGUUAGUCUGUCUUAAAAGUUCGGGGCUUAACCCCGUGAUGGGAUGGAAACUGCUGAUCUAGAGUAUCGGAGAGGAAAGUGGAAUUCCUAGUGUAGCGGUGAAAUGCGUAGAUAUUAGGAAGAACACCAGUGGCGAAGGCGACUUUCUGGACGAAAACUGACGCUGAGGCGCGAAAGCCAGGGGAGCGAACGGGAUUAGAUACCCCCGUAGUCCCUGUCUCUUAUACC